GAGAGCAAAGCGGAAAACGAGCUUAAAUAAGGCAAUACCAGAAGAACUCCAUUAGCGGCAAAUAAGCAAUCCGCAUAAACAAAAGCCUCAAACAAAGUAGGUACGAGUAUCAACAGGUCUCAGGAAGAACGGCCAUAUCAGAGUAUGCUCGAACAAUCAGACAAAAACUUUAGAUUUUCUCUGAAGACACAGUCGAGAAAAUAAAAUACAUUUGGAAGAGUCAACAAAAUUCAGUGUGGAUCUGAUACGGAUUCAACAACUCGCAGACAUAUAUAUACAUGAUGCUCAGUGUGGAUCUGAUACGAAUUCAGCAGCUCACAGACAGAUAUACAAGAUGGGAGUAACAAACUCGAUCUUAUAGACAAAAACAGACAAUGGAUGAAAGGAACACAAUGACCUCGUUUACUUUUGACGUGUUAGUGAGGGAAAGAAAGGGAAAUUGAGAAUAAGCGAGUAGAAAAAAGAAGCGAAAGGUAAGAGAGAACAUCUUCCUUUCCUCUCUGCAACCGAAUGAAUCAUAUCCGUAAGAGGAAGAACAUGUUGGCGGUGCUUUCAUAUCAUGGUAGAAGCAGCGAUGGCGGAGUUUCAAAUGGACGAUUUCAAAUAUUGUUCAGAGCGGAUUUUCAGAUCCGGAUGCACUUUCAAUGGUAUUUUUAGAGGCCAUUUAUCACAGGCCAGGCCAGUCAAUUUCAGAGAGAAGGCCAUGAUUACUAGAUAUGGCAAUUUUUCAGAGGUCAGCCGUUUUUUUCACUUUCACACGG
rnacentral:lncRNA from 1 species